rnacentral:rRNA from 1 species
GAUGAACGCUAGCGACAGGCCUAACACAUGCAAGUCGAGGGGUAACUAGAGUGAUAGCAAUAUUACUUUGGCUAGACCGGCGCACGGGUGCGUAACACGUAUGCAACCUACCUUAUACUGGGGAAUAACUUCGAGAAAUCGGCGCUAAUACCCCAUAACAUUGCGAAGAGGCAUCUCUUUGCAAUUAAAGCUCCGGCGGUAUAAGAUGGGCAUGCGUCCAAUUAGCUAGUUGGUGAGGUAACUGCUCACCAAGGCUACGAUUGGUAGGGGUUCUGAGAGGAUGAGCCCCCACACUGGUACUGAGACACGGCCCAGACUACUACGGGAGGCAGCAGUGAGGAAUAUUGCGCAAUGGACGAAAGUCUGACGCAGCCAUGCCGCGUGCAGGAUGACGGCCCUAUGGGUUGUAAACUGCUUUUGUACGGGAAUAAACCCUUCUACGUGUAGGAGGCUGAAGGUACCGUAAGAAUAAGCACCGGCUAACUCCGUGCCAGCCGCCGCGGUAAGAC